GCGGUAACAGAUCCUGCUUGCUGGAUGCUGACGAGCGGCGGACGGGUGAGUAAUGCAUAGGAAUCUGCCCGAUAGUGGGGGAUAGCCUGGGGAAACCCAGGCUAAUACCGCAUACGUCCUACGGGAGAAAGGGGGCUUUGGCUCCCGCUAUCGGAUGAGCCUAUGUCGGAUUAGCUAGUUGGUGAGGUAAAGGCUCACCAAGGCAACGAUCCGUAGCUGGUCUGAGAGGAUGAUCAGCCACAUCGGGACUGAGACACGGCCCGAACUCCUACGGGAGGCAGCAGUGGGGAAUAUUGGACAAUGGGGGCAACCCUGAUCCAGCCAUGCCGCGUGUGUGAAGAAGGCCCUCGGGUUGUAAAGCACUUUCAGCGAGGAAGAACGCCCAGCGGUUAAUACCCGCUAGGAAAGACAUCACUCGCAGAAAAAGCACCGGCUAACUCCGUGCCAGCAGCCGCGGUAAUACGGAGGGUGCAAGCGUUAAUCGGAAUUACUGGGCGUAAAGCGCGCGUAGGUGGCUUGAUAAGCCGGUUGUGAAAGCCCCGGGCUCAACCUGGGAACGGCAUCCGGAACUGUCAAGCUAGAGUGCAGGAGAGGAAGGUAGAAUUCCCGGUGUAGCGGUGAAAUGCGUAGAGAUCGAGAGGAAUACCAGUGGCGAAGGCGGCCUUCUGGACUGACACUGACACUGAGGUGCGAAAGCGUGAGUAGCAAACAGGAUUAGAUACCCUGGGUAGUCCACGCCGUAGACGAUGUCGACCAGCCGUUGGGUGCCUAGCGCACUUUGUGGCCGAAGUUAACCCGAUAAGUCGACC
rnacentral:rRNA from 1 species